rnacentral:rRNA from 1 species
CAUAGGUUAAUGAGGCGAACCGGGGGAACUGAAACAUCUAAGUACCCCGAGGAAAAGAAAUCAACCGAGAUUCCCCCAGUAGCGGCGAGCGAACGGGGAGGAGCCCAGAGCCUGAAUCAGUGUGUGUGUUAGUGGAAGCGUCUGGAAAGGCGCGCGAUACAGGGUGACAGCCCCGUACACAAAAAUGCACAUACUGUGAGCUCGAUGAGUAGGGCGGGACACGUGGUAUCCUGUCUGAAUAUGGGGGGACCAUCCUCCAAGGCUAAAUACUCCUGACUGACCGAUAGUGAACCAGUACCGUGAGGGAAAGGCGAAAAGAACCCCGGCGAGGGGAGUGAAAAAGAACCUGAAACCGUGUACGUACAAGCAGUGGGAGCCUCUUAAUGGGGUGACUGCGUACCUUUUGUAUAAUGGGUCAGCGACUUAUAUUCUGUAGCAAGGUUAACCGAAUAGGGGAGCCGAAGGGAAACCGAGUCU